UCCCGGGUAGCUCAACGGUAGAGCGAGCGGCUGUUAACCGCUAGGUUACAGGUUCGAAUCCUGUCCCGGGAGCCA
rnacentral:tRNA from 1 species